rnacentral:rRNA from 1 species
AUUGAACGCUGGCGGCAGGCUUAACACAUGCAAGUCGAGCGAGCGGCGGACGGGUGAGUAAUGUCUGGGAAACUGCCUGAUGGAGGGGGAUAACUACUGGAAACGGUAGCUAAUACCGCAUACCAUUAGAUGUGACCAGAUGGGAUUAGCUAGUAGGUGGGGUAAUGGCUACCCUAGGCGACGAUCCCUAUCUGGUCUGUGAGGAUGACCAGCCACACUGGAGCUGAGGCACGGUCCAGACUCCGAAGGGAGGCGGCAAUGGGGAAAAUUGCACAAUGGGAGCAAGCCUGAUGCAGCCAUGCCACGUGUGUGGAGAAGGACUUCGGGUUGUAAGGCACUUUCAGCGGGGAGGCGUUACUAGCAGAAGAAGCACCGGCUAACUCCGUGCCAGCCGCCGCGGUAAUAC